UACGGAAGGGGCUAGCGUUGUUCGGAAUUACUGGGCGUAAAGCGCACGUAGGCGGCUUUGUAAGUUAGAGGUGAAAGCCCGGGGCUCAACCCCGGAACAGCCUUUAAGACUGCAUCGCUUGAACGUCGGAGAGGUGAGUGGAAUUCCGAGUGUAGAGGUGAAAUUCGUAGAUAUUCGGACGAACACCAGUGGCGAAGGCGGCUCACUGGACGACUGUUGACGCUGAGGUGCGAAAGCGUGGGGAGCAAACAGG
rnacentral:rRNA from 1 species